rnacentral:misc_RNA from 1 species
GAUGAAGAACGUAGCGAAAUGCGAUAAGUAAUGUGAAUUGCAGAAUUCAGUGAAUCAUCGAAUCUUUGAACGCACCUUGCGCUCCUUGGUAUUCCGAGGAGCAUGCCUGUUUGAGUGUCAUUAAAAUAUCAACCUUCUCUUUUUUGAGUUGUUUGGAUGUGGGGGUUUGCUGGCCUCUUAAAUGAUUCAGCUCCCCUGAAAUGCAUUAGCAGAACAACCUGUUCAUUAGCGUGAUAAUUAUCUAUGCUAUUGAAUGUGAGGGCAGUUCAGCUUUCUAACCGUCCUUGGACAAUUCAUCAUUAAUGUGACCUCAAAUCAGGUAGGACUACCCGCUGAACUUAAGCAUAUCAAUAAGCGGAGGA